rnacentral:rRNA from 1 species
UACGGGGGGUGCAAGCGUUGUUCGGAAUCAUUGGGCGUAAAGCGCGCGCAGGCGGCUUGGUAAGUCAGAUGUGAAGGCCCUGGGCUUAACCCAGGAAGUGCAUUUGAUACUGCCUCGCUAGAGUACGGGAGAGGAAAGUGGAAUUCCUGGUGUAGAGGUGAAAUUCGUAGAUAUCAGGAGGAACACCGGUGGCGAAGGCGACUUUCUGGCCCGAUACUGACGCUCAGGCGCGAAAGCGUGGGGAGCAAACAGG